rnacentral:rRNA from 1 species
AGACUUUGAUCCUGGCUCAGGAUGAACGCUAGCGGCAGGCCUAACACAUGCAAGUCGAGGGGCAGCACGGUGUAGCAAUACACUGGUGGCGACCGGCGCACGGGUGCGUAACGCGUAUGCAACCUACCCAUAACAGGGGGGAUAACACUGAGAAAUUGGUACUAAUACCCCCAUAACAUCAGGACCGGCAUCGGUUCUGGUUGAAAACUCCGGUGGUUAUGGAUGGGCAUGCGUUGUAUUAGCUGGUUGGU